rnacentral:rRNA from 1 species
UGGCCGCCGGGGGGCUUACGCCCCCGGGCCCGCGCCCGCCGAAGACACCCUCGAACUCUGUCUGAAGAUUGUAGUCUGAGUGAAAAUAUAAAUUAUUUAAAACUUUCAACAACGGAUCUCUUGGUUCCGGCAUCGAUGAAGAACGCAGCGAAAUGCGAUACGUAAUGUGAAUUGCAAAUUCANGUGAAUCAUCGAGUCUUUGAACGCACAUUGCGCCCCCUGGUAUUCCGGGGGGCAUGCCUGUCCGAGCGUCAUUGCUGCCCUCAAGCACGGCUUGUGUGUUGGGCCCCGUCCUCCGAUCCCGGGGGACGGGCCCGAAAGGCAGCGGCGGCACCGCGUCCGGUCCUCGAGCGUAUGGGGCUUUGUCACCCGCUCUGUAGGCCCGGCCGGCGCUUGCCGAUCAACCCAAAUUUUUAUCCAGGUUGACUCGGA